GUGUUUAAUUAAAGUGGAUGGGCUAAGGAUGAUGACUUGUUUUUUAUUUUUGUUUUUAAUUUUCUCCCAUUGCCUUCCCUCCCUCUUCUUGCCAAGCAUGAUGAUUUAUGAAAGCAAAUGGAGGCUACAAAGAAAGGAGUGAUAACGUGAUAUGUACACUUUAAUAUCCACCGUCUGUACCCUGAUGGUGAAGUCAAGAGCACAGGACAGUACUUGGCUGAAGUUAUAUACAUGGAGUCACCAUUGGCUGACCCCAGCAGAAGCCAGGAGGACGAGAAAGCCUGGGUAAUGCAGGUCAUAAAGAGAUGGGCAGAAGGGAGAUCUAGAAACGCAAAUUAAAAAUAACUAGCAAACACAUGCUGUUCUCUAAUUGUAAUGCCCCUCCCUAUUUUUUAUCUGUCAAAAUCCUGAUCACUCAAUUCAUGAGGAACAUUCUCUGUGGAAUUACAGUGCUUCCCAACAAAG